rnacentral:misc_RNA from 1 species
AAGUCGUAACAAGGUUUCCGUAGGUGAACCUGCGGAAGGAUCAUUAACACGUAUCCAACGUUAAACCCCCCGUGAACCUUUAUUGUGCUCGUCUGCCCUGUUGGAAAGCGGCAAUCCCUGGUAAAUCAUCGCCGAACAGUUUUGAUUCAGGGACUUCUGUGGAGCGCGGAAAACGAGGCGAGGCAAGUGGUCUGGCAUCCCUCUGCUUGUUAGUGUCUGACAGUGUCACUAGCUCUGUAAGGAUGGCGCAGUAACGAUCGCUAGAGGCCGACACGGCCGGCGACCGGACCGCCGGGCUAUACGCUCCUUUAUCACCUUUGCAUGAAAACGGGCCUGCGCUUAAUUGUGCGGCCACCAAAAACCGAACAACUGUUAACAAUGGAUAUCUUGGUUCUC